GCUGGGUGCGGUGACUCACGCCUGUAAUCCCAGCACUUUGGGAGGCUGAGGCAGGUGGAUCACCUGAGGUCAGGAGUUCGAGACCAGCCUGGCCAACAUGGUGAAACCCUGUCUCUA
rfam:Gorilla gorilla gorilla genomic chromosome, chr1, whole genome shotgun sequence